rnacentral:rRNA from 1 species
AUUGAACGCUGGCGGCAUGCCUUACACAUGCAAGUCGAACGGUAACGCGGGGCAACCUGGCGACGAGUGGCGAACGGGUGAGUAAUGCAUCGGAACGUGCCCUGUAGUGGGGGAUAGCCCGGCGAAAGCCGGAUUGAUACCGCAUACGACCUACGGGUGAAAGCGGGGGACCGUAAGGCCUCGCGCUAUUGGAGCGGCCGAUGUCAGAUUAGGUUGUUGGUGGGGUAAAAGCCUACCAAGCCGACGAUCUGUAGCUGGUCUGAGAGGACGACCGGCCACACGGGGACAGAGACACGGCACAGGCUACUACGGGAGGCAGCGGUGGGGAAUUUUGGACAAUGGGGGCAACCCGGAUCCAGCCAUGCCGCGUGCGGGAAGAAGGCCUUCGGGUUGUAAACCGCUUUUGUCAGGGAAGAAACGCUCUGGGCUAAUACCCCGGGGUAAUGACGGUACCUGAAGAAUAAGCACCGGCUAACUACGUGCCAGCCGCCGCAGUAAAAC